GACGAACGCUGGCGGCGUGCUUAACACAUGCAAGUCGAACGGAAAGGCCUCUUUCGGGGGGUACUCGAGUGGCGAGCGGGUGAGUAACACGUGAGUAACCUGCCCUUGACUUUGGGAUAACUUCAGGAAACUGGGGCUAAUACCGGAUAGGAGCUCCUGCUGCACGGUGGGGGUUGGAAAGUUUCGGCGGUUGGGGAUUGACUCGCGGCUGAUCAGCUUGUUGGUGGGGUAGUGGCUUACCAAGGCUUUGACGGGUAGCCGGCCUGAGAGGGUGACCGGCCACAUUGGGACUGAGAUACGGACCAGACUCCUACGGGAGGCAGCAGUGGGGAAUAUUGCACAAUGGGUGGAAGCCUGAUGCAGCAACGCCGUGUGCGGGAUGACGGCCUUCGGGUUGUAAACCGCUUUCGCUCAUGACGAAGCUUUGCGUGACGGUAGUGGGUAAAGAAGCACCGGCUAACUACGUG
rnacentral:rRNA from 1 species